rnacentral:rRNA from 1 species
GAACGCUGGCGGCGUGCCUAAUACCUGCAAGUCGAGCGAACAGACGAGGAGCUUGCUCCUCUGACGUUCGCGGCGGACGGGUGAGUAACACGUGGAUAACCUACCUAUAAGACUGGGAUAACUUCGGGAAACCGGAGCUAAUACCGGAUAAUAUAUUGAACCGCAUGGUUCAAUAGUGAAAGACGGUUUUGCUGUCACUUAUAGAUGGAUCCGCGCCGCAUUAGCUAGUUGGUAAGGUAACGGCUUACCAAGGCAACGAUGCGUAGCCGACCUGAGAGGGUGAUCGGCCACACUGGAACUGAGACACGGUCCAGACUCCUACGGGAGGCAGCAGUAGGGAAUCUUCCGCAAUGGGCGAAAGCCUGACGGAGCAACGCCGCGUGAGUGAUGAAGGUCUUCGGAUCGUAAAACUCUGUCAUUAGGGAAGAACAAAUGUGUAAGUAACUAUGCACGUCUUGACGGUACCUAAUCAGAAAGCCACGGCUAACUACGUG